rnacentral:rRNA from 1 species
UUUUUGGAGAGUUUGAUCCUGGCUCAGGACGAACGCUGGCGGCGUGCCUAAUACAUGCAAGUCGAGCGAACCGAAGAGAGCUUGCUC